CACAAAACAUAGCUCUAGGUUCUCCUACUGCCCAGUUUCAAUAGAACACAACACCACUCCAGGUUCUCCUACUGCCCAGUUUCAAUAGAACACAACACCACUCCAGGUUCUCCUACUGCCCAGUUUCAAUAGAACACAACACCACUCCAGGUUCUCCUACUGCCCAGUUUCAAUAGAACACAACACCACUCCAGGUUCUCCUACUGCCCAGUUUCAAUAGAACACAACACCGCUCCAGGUUCUCCUACUGCCCAGUUUCAAUAGAACACAACACCACUCCAGGUUCUCCUACUGCCCAGUUUCAAUAGAACACAACACCACUCCAGGUUCUCCUACUGCCCAGUUUCAAUAGAACACAACACCACUCCAGGUUCUCCUACUGCCCAGUUUCAAUAGAACACAACACCGCUCCAGGUUCUCCUACUGCCCAGUUUCAAUAGAACACAACACCGCUCCAGGUUCUCCUACUGCCCAGUUUCAAUAGAACACAACACCACUCCAGGUUCUCCUACUGCCCAGUUUCAAUAGAACACAACACCACUCCAGGUUCUCCUACUGCCCAGUUUCAAUAGAACACAACACCACUCCAGGUUCUCCUACUGCCCAGUUUCAAUAGAACACAACACCACUCCAGGUUCUCCUACUGCCCAGUUUCAAUAGAACACAACACCACUCCAGGUUCUCCUACUGCCCAGUUUCAAUAGAACACAACACCGCUCCAGGUUCUCCUACUGCCCAGUUUCAAUAGAACACAACACCACUCCAGGAUCUCCUACUGCCCAGUUUCAAUAGAACACAACACCGCUCCAGGUUCUCCUACUGCCCAGUUUCAAUAGAACACAACACCGCUCCAGGUUCUCCUACUGCCCAGUUUCAAUAGAACACAACACCACUCCAGGAUCUCCUACUGCCCAGUUUCAAUAGAACACAACACCGCUCCAGGUUCUCCUACUGCCCAGGUUCAAUAGAACACAACACCGCUCCAGGUUCUCCUACUGCCCAGUUUCAAUAGAACACAACACGGCUCCAGGUUCUCCUACUGCCCAGUUUCAAUAGAACACAACACGGCUCCAGGUUCUCCUACUGCCCAGUUUCAAUAGAACACAACACCGCUCCAGGUUCUCCUACUGCCCAGUUUCAAUAGAACACGGCUCCAGGUUCUCCUACUGCCCAGUUUCAAUAGAACACGGCUCCAGGUUCUCCUACUGCCCAGUUUCAAUAGAACACGGCUCCAGGUUCUCCUACUGCCCAGUUUCAAUAGAACACAACACCGCUCCAGGUUCUCCUACUGCCCAGUUUCAAUAGAACACAACACCCCUCCAGGUUCUCCUACUGCCCAGUUUCAAUA